CUACAGGGGUAUCUAAUCCUGUUUGCUACCCACGCUUUCGCACCUCAGCGUCAGAAACAGACCAGAGAGUCGCCUUCGCCACUGGUGUUCCUCCACAUAUCUACGCAUUUCACCGCUACACGUGGAAUUCCACUCUCCUCUUCUGUCCUCAAGUUCCCCAGUUUCCAAUGACCCUCCACGGUUGAGCCGUGGGCUUUCACAUCAGACUUAAGGAACCGCCUGCGCGCGCUUUACGCCCAAUAAUUCCGGACAACGCUUGCCCCCUACGUAUUACCGCGGCUGCUGGCAC
rnacentral:rRNA from 1 species